GAUGAACGCUGGCGGCGUGCCUAACACAUGCAAGUCGAGCGAUUCUCUUCGGAGAAGAGCGGCGGACGGGUGAGUAACGCGUGGGUAACCUGCCCUGUACACACGGAUAACAUACCGAAAGGUAUGCUAAUACGGGAUAACAUAAGAAAUUCGCAUGUUUUUCUUAUCAAAGCUCCGGCGGUACAGGAUGGACCCGCGUCUGAUUAGCUAGUUGGUGAGGUAACGGCUCACCAAGGCGACGAUCAGUAGCCGACCUGAGAGGGUGAUCGGCCACAUUGGAACUGAGACACGGACCAAACUCCUACGGGAGGCAGCAGUGGGGAAUAUUGCACAAUGGGCGAAAGCCUGAUGCAGCAACGCCGCGUGAGCGAUGAAGGUCUUCGGGUCGUAAAGCUCUGUCCUCAAGGAAGAUAAUGACGGUACUUGAGGAGGAAGCCCCGGCUAACUACGUGCCAGCCGCCGCAGUAAGAC
rnacentral:rRNA from 1 species